UGGGGAAUAUUGCACAAUGGAGGGAACUCUGAUGCAGCAACGCCGCGUGCGGGAUGACGGCCUUCGGGUUGUAAACCGCUUUCAGCCAUGACGAAGCUUUUGUGACGGUAGUGGUAGAAGAAGCACCGGCUAACUACGUGCCAGCAGCCGCGGUGAUACGUAGGGUGCGAGCGUUGUCCGGAAUUAUUGGGCGUAAAGAGCUUGUAGGCGGUUUGUCGCGUCAAUAGUGUAAACACGCAGCUUAACAGUGUGCCUGCUGUCGAUACGGGCUGACUAGAGGAGGGUAGGGGAGAAUGGAAUUCCCGGUGGAGCGGUGGAAUGCGCAGAUAUCGGGAGGAACACCAGUGGCGAAGGCGGUUCUCUGGACCUUUCCUGACGCUGAGAAGCGAAAGCGUGGGUAGCAAACAGG
rnacentral:rRNA from 1 species